rnacentral:tRNA from 1 species
GCCCGGCUAGCUCAGUCGGUAGAGCAUGGGACUCUUAAUCCCAGGGUUGUGGAUCCACCUCCUAGCGAGGUA